rnacentral:lncRNA from 1 species
AAGAGGGCAGCCGCGCAGAGAACCAAAUACCCGCCCCAUUGUUCUCCACCAUCUUUAGCAUCUUCAAAACUUGAACACCAAAAACAACACACACCCAUAUAAACGCACACACAACUAAACCAACCAGAAAAUCUGGGCAUGAAAAUUGAUUGAAGAAAAGUUGGUUUAGGUUCUAAUUCCAGUUGCUGAUUGUUAGAUUUUUGUUGCUGCUAUGAUUGGUUGAGACGCGGCUGAGUCGAAGCUGUUUUGUUUCCAGUUCGAGUUCCAUCUAGAGGUCAUCGGAUUGAGUGCUUUUAUUUUCCAUGUAAGAAAAUUGUUAUGGGAGAUCUGAAAGUCUGUUCGAGUCAAGGAUGUUGUUUGAGUUGCUGGACCGCUAGUUCUGUUUCUUCACUGAAAUUCCACAUUGGAAAUUCUUGAUUAUUGUGAAAGGAAAAUUUUCUCAUUAAGGUAUGUUUUUCUUGAUUUUCAUUCUAUUCUCAUCUCGUCACAGUAGCUUGAAGAGUGUUUGGCAUAACUUGUGAUUUUCUUUAUUUUAUUUUUAACUAGCAUAUCUUAACUUUCGUUAGGUACCUUUAAUUAGUUUAUCUAUUUUGUGAUGUAUAUGACCUUUGUUCUUGGAUGAAUGUAUUAUAAUGGUUCGAUAAAUUAACUUAGCAAGUUAGUGGUUAGUGCUAGAAUAUUUAAUAAGCUAAUGGAAUUUAUUUGUUAAAUAAUAAGGAUACUUCCAUACUUCCAUCAUUCACAUUGGGGAGUUAGGGAAGAAAGGUAGCUAAUGUUAUGAGUAUACACUGACUUGGAUGCAUGUUUUUUUUUUUGCAAUUCACUAUGCAGGCGCCUAGGGUUAGAUUUCAUUAAUAAUUGAAAAGAAAAUUAUAACAAUUAGGAGAAGUAAAAUAAGGGAUAGCAACGAUGUUGUUACCCAUAUAACACAACCGGCGUAACCGUACCUUACUAAUCCUAUUGAGGCAAAUAAAAAGCCUCACCUACUAGCAAGCAUGUAAAAAGAAAGAACUAGCAAGAACUAAGAACAGUAUGAUCAUCAUAGAGUUUAUAACGUACUCUGUAAUGAUAUUACAUAUUAUAAGACUAAUGUGAUGGUAAAAUAAGAGGAUGAAAAAACUACGUUGAUGCUCUCUUUUCUCUAAAUUUGUGAAUACUUCCAUUUGUAGAUUGUUGUCUUUGCCCACAGAUUUAAAAGUCUUCAAAAUUCAUGUUUUUUCUUUAAGCGAUUGGAAUUUGUAGAUAUUGUUUGAGUGACCUGUUUUUGUUUUGCAUUUCUCAUUGGGGGCCUCCUUAUGUUUGCGUCUUCAAUCACCAUGGUGUCCCAACUUCUAUCACUUGCAGGAGACUUCUUACUUCUUUCACUAUGCAUUAGUGACAAAUUACCUUUUCUUGAAGCGUCUAAAUCCCUUGCACGAGACUUGUUACUUCUUUCACUAUGCAUUGGUGACAAAUCACCUUUUCUUGAAGCCUCUGCCUGACAUUGCUUUAAUAUAUCAUCUUCCUCCCCUUCUUUAUAUAUAUGUCUACCUGUAAAUAUUGAAUUUGGCAUCUCUUGAAAAUCGCUUUAUGUUAUCAAUGAUUUUUCAGCUUGUACCUUACCUAUAACUGCCUUGUUUUGUCAUUGUUUUGCGAUUUGUUCCUGCUCAUGUUCCCACAACCUGUACUGGAAUUAUCAUGAUUUAAAGCGUUUAGUGGAUCUGUACUUUGCAUCGCAUCCAAG